CGGUUGCUGUAUGGAGCUAAUUGUUACGAGUUCUCUACGUGACCUGCUAAAAGUUGACUAAAAAGAUGUCACCAUUAUUGUUCAUUUGUGCGCUGCAACAAAGUGAAAACGCGACAAAAGUCCUUUCACUUGACCUACCUUUUCAAUUAAGAAGAGGCCUUGCGCAGCAGGUUGUCCCAGGAGCAUGGGAUGAAAAAACUGACCAUGAUUUGGAGACUGCUGCGGACCUCCUGGAAUAACACUGCUAUGUCAAGAGGAGGACCGAAGGAAAUCUUCGGCUUCUGAUGCCACAAAUUGUCCUUGAGGACAUCUGCUUGGAGGUGGUCCUGGCUGAGGGCGAUAGAGCCUUCCUGAGUCUCUCCCUCAGCUGCUGUCUCCUCAGAGACAUCAUAAGGGAGCAGAACUUCAUGGACAGGGCCCAUUUUACAUGGCUGGAUGGUGAAGUGGACUGGACCCGAUUUUUCGGAGUUGUUUAAAAGAGAGGCACGGGUGGGCUUUUCAGUCCAAAUACAGUAUGUUUGUACUACAGAGAGCUGUAAAAGGACUGCAGGGGUUGUACUGUAAAUGGGAAGCAUGGGGUUUACCCACGCUACUACAGUGAUAUUUCGUGCCCCCCUGGUAUGCUUAGGCAGAUUGCCAAGCUCCCUAUCCUAUAGGCUUACAGAAAUGGAAAUUGAGGUUUUGGAGCAAGGACUCACCUUCAUUCCUACUACAAAGUAGAUGGACCGCAGGGACUUGCAUACCUACCAUAUGCUGUUUUGUGAUGUUUAGGCCCAAAUCAGCGAAUCAUUUUAACCUUACUCAAUAACAGUUAAAUACUGUCAGGAACCUUCGUAACAGAGUAUCGCAAUAAAACCAGCUGAUAAGGGGUCACAAAUUGUUAUUAUGGAUAAGGUCCAAUAUCUGGUUGAGGCAAAUGGACAGCUUAGUAAUGAGAAACCGUACGCCAUGCUACAUCACUCCAUUCAUUCUGAGACACAGGUAUGAGUUGCAUCCCUUCCAGACCCAGAACAGAAGGGGCAACAGGCAGUGGCAGAGUGGGCUCCGGUAAUGGCUACGGUUGAAACGGGUCGACAUAAAGUGAUGAUGGGUUAUGCUACAAAAGAUAAUUCUUACUUGAGUGAAUCCCAAGCUGAGUCCCUUCUUAACAUCCUAAAAACAAACCUGCCAAAUUCGAGCCGGCGCUAGCCACAUGCCAGGAGCCUCUCAGGCACCUUAAUAUAGGGAGAAAGAGAAGUGACUGGCUGGUUGACAUAGUUAAACCAAUUGUGGUGAUAGGAGAUUUGUGAUAUAGUGGUGGAGUUGUAUGAAAAAAAACUUUAUUAGGGCUAAACAAAUGUCUUACCUGUUGGGUCCCGAUAAGACCCAGAUAAUAUUAUCUGCUUCCUAAAAUUCACCAAGCUGCACAGCAGUGGACUGUUCCUGUCCAGGUUCCAUGCGACUGCCCUAUUGUGAGUGACUGGCCCUGAGUCGUAUCAGUUUGCAGAAUACAUAGAUUUUUACAUGAAUCCUCUCUCCCAGAAAUGCGGCAGCAUUGUGAAAGACACAGGACGUUGUGAAUAAACUGAAUGGUUUGAAAAUACCAGUAGACUGUGGACAUCAAUUCACUGUAUUCCAACAUUGGGCCUACACGCAAUUGAAUACCUUUCAGUAGAUUCUUUAAACGUCCAGACAGGGCUAUUUUGGAUUUACUGGAGCUGAGUUUGACCAGGAAUUAUUUGGAAUUUUAUUAUAGGCAUUACCUUCAGAUACAUGGAACAGCCAUGGGUAAAACUUUUGCCCCGUAUGUAGUUUUGGGAGGGAACAGCAUUUCGUAAAUGUACAACCUUACCAAUGCUUCAAGAGCUUGGUGGCACUUAGCUCCAAACUUCAGUCCCACUUCCAACUAGUUCAGCAGGCUAAUGGACAUUAGUGAUAUCAGCAUACAGGAGAAAUAAAAACCCUAAAGACAUGCUUGUUCACUCUAGCCUCACACAGUAGAAAAAACCAUUGUGCAAUGACCAAUACCUUUUGGUAUCUCAAAGGUAUCUCAAAAAGACCUUUUCUGGGUUGGGGUCUCCAAUAUGGUAACAUAUGGGGUUGGAAACAGCCAACGUGGUUUAUGAGAUUAGGUGCAAUCUGUGUCUGAAGAUAUACAUCGAUUUAACCAAAAAUGCCCAAGGUGAUAGACUUAUACAGCAUUUACAUCACAAUGGUAAAAUGGAUAGAAUCAUGGUGCUAUAUACUCACUUCCAGGGACACACUGUAGAUAAUGUAAUACUUUGAUUUAGAGUCAAAGCCACAACGACAGAGGGCAGAUGAUUCAAUGGGUUUGAAAGAGAAGAUUUAGGCAUCCCGGCACCUUGCCUCUUUCUGGUGUCGGGGGGUCGGAGAAGGCAAGCGGGGGGUUCCCUCUAAGAUCUGAGAGAUCUACAUCGGGGUGCAGAUGUAUUAAGUGCAGGAAUGUACCAAUGCAUGUAUUUGAGAAUUGUGUGGGCUUUAUUUUAUUUUCCAAAGAUAAUUAUUUCUGACAUAAAAAGCAAAAGCACUUAUUGUACAUGGUGUUUAUUUAUUGUUGGUACAUUUUCUGCAGUAUGUAUUUCUUAUCAUAACUUGAUGGAGGAGUCUUCUUUGGUGGCAAGCUGCAGUGUUAGUCCACGUGAAUUUACAGCUUUAAAAUGGUUGUAGUCUUGUUUUGACUGGGCCUUCACUGUCCUUCAAAAGCCAAACCUGUUCUAAAUUAGAAAUCAAGGGAAUUUGACAAAAAAAUACUAACUUCAGUUGUGCAGGUAAGUUUUCACUUACCUGUUGUUUAAACGCUAUCUGGUGUUGACAUCUAGGAGGGGUAGCAGAUAUCACCUGUGGGUUCAUGAAAUAAGAGGGUAAGAAAGCACUGUCUGUGAAAUUAUUGUAUUUACAGUGGGGCAAAAAAGUAUUUAGUCAGCCACCAAUUGUGCAAGUUCUCCCACUUAAAAAGA